CCUACGGGAGGCAGCAGUGGGGAAUCUUGGACAAUGGGCGCAAGCCUGAUCCAGCCAUGCCGCGUGAGUGAUGAAGGCCCUAGGGUCGUAAAGCUCUUUCGCCUGGGAAGAUAAUGACGGUAGCUGGUAAAGAAACCCCGGCUAACUCCGUGCCAGCAGCCGCGGUAAU
rnacentral:rRNA from 1 species